rnacentral:rRNA from 1 species
ACUCCUACGGGAGGCAGCAGUGGGGAAUAUUGCACAAUGGGGGAAACCCUGAUGCAGCCAUGCCGCGUGUGUGAAGAAGGCCUUGGGUUGUAAAGCACUUUCAGUAGGGAGGAAGGUAGUGUAGUUAACACCUGCAUUAUUUGUACGUUACCUACAGAAGAAGCACCGGCUAACUCCGUGCCAGCAGCCGCGGUAAUACGGGAGGGUGCGAGCGUUAAUACGGAAUUACUGGGCGUAAAGCGCAUGCAGGCGGCCUGUUAAGUCAGAUGUGAAAGCCCCGGGGCUUAACCUCGGAAUUUGCAUUUGAAACUGGCAGGCUAGAGUCUUGUAGAGGGGGUAGAAUUUCAGGUGUAGCGGUGAAAUGCGUAGA